CCGAUGGCGACCGGCGCACGGGUGAGUAACACGUAUCCAACCUGCCGAUAACUCGGGGAUAGCCUUUCGAAAGAAAGAUUAAUAUCCGAUAGCAUAUCAAGGUCGCAUGAUCUUGAUAUUAAAGAAUUUCGGUUAUCGAUGGGGAUGCGUUCCAUUAGUUAGUUGGCGGGGUAACGGCCCACCAAGACGACGAUGGAUAGGGGUUCUGAGAGGAAGGUCCCCCACAUUGGAACUGAGACACGGUCCAAACUCCUACGGGAGGCAGCAG
rnacentral:rRNA from 1 species